rnacentral:rRNA from 1 species
CGGACGGGUGAGUAACGCGUGGGUAACCUUCCUUGUACUGGGGGACAACAGUUAGAAAUGACUGCUAAUACCGCAUAAGCGCACAGUAUCGCAUGAUACAGUGUGAAAAGCUCCGGUGGUACAAGAUGGACCCGCGUCUGAUUAGCUAGUUGGUAAGGUAACGGCUUACCAAGGCGACGAUCAGUAGCCGACCUGAGAGGGUGACCGGCCACAUUGGGACUGAGACACGGCCCAA